rnacentral:misc_RNA from 1 species
AGAUUAUGAGGAAGUUGGUGCUGAAGGUGCUGAAGAUGAAGAUGAAGGAGAAGAUUAUUGAAAUGUCUUUUUCUGAAUCAUCAGGGGAUGUAUGUGUUUCAUUUCCUGUCUCUUGUUGUUUUUCAGCCCAUGUCUUGUAAAGAAAAUCAUCCAUGUCAGUGAUCACUGAACUGUAUCUCCAUUGUGUUUUAGCUCAGUACUUAAUUUUGUUUUGGAAGCACAGUUUUGAAAAUGUCAUCAUUUGUUGUUUAAAUG